rnacentral:rRNA from 1 species
AUUGAACGCUGGCGGCAGGCUUAACACAUGCAAGUCGAGCGGGGAUUGGGUGCUUGCACCUAAUCUUAGCGGCGGACGGGUGAGUAAUGCUUAGGAAUCUGCCAUUUAGUGGGGGACAACAUUCCGAAAGGGAUGCUAAUACCGCAUACGCCCUACGGGGAAAGCAGGGGAUCUUCGGACCUUGCGCUAAAUGAUGAGCCUAAGUCGGAUUAGCUAGUUGGUGGGGUAAAGGCCUACCAAGGCGACGAUCCGUAGCUGGUCUGAGAGGACGACCAGCCACACUGGAACUGAGACACGGUCCAGACUCCUACGGGAGGCAGCAGUGGGGAAUUUUGGACAAUGGGCGCAAGCCUGAUCCAGCCAUGCCGCGUGAGUGAAGAAGGCCUUCGGGUUGU